CACUUCCUCUUUUGGACUGCAGAAUUUGCCCUCUGGGUGGACUAUCAAGCCUCGAGAGAAGCCAGUGCCUGCUGUGCUGGGCUGUCAGAGCAACCUGCUCACUCCAGGAGGUGAUGGGGAUCCCCUCAUUCCUAGCCUUCCCUGCUGCCUGGAGGGACCGAGCUCACUGCACGCCUUGGCAUCCUUGGGGCCACAUGCUACUGUGGACAGCUCUGCUCUUCCCGGCUCCUGUUCCUGGGAAACCUGAUCUCCCAAAAGCUGUGGUGAGCAUCCAGCCUGCGUGGAUCAAUGUGCUCAGGGAGGAUCACGUGACGCUGAUGUGCCAGGGGACCAGCUUCUAUGCAGGCAACCUCACCACGUGGUUCCAUAACGGGAGCUCCAUUCACACCCAGAAGCAGCCCAGCUACAGCUUUAGGGCCAACAGCAAUGACAGUGGAUCCUACAGGUGCCAGAGGGAGCAGACCAGCCUCAGCGACCCCGUGCAUCUGGAUGUGAUUUCUGACUGGCUGCUGCUCCAGACCCCCAGCCUCGUGUUCCAGGAAGGGGAGCCCAUCAUGCUGAGGUGCCACAGCUGGAGAAACCACCCUCUGAGUAAGAUCACGUUCUACCAGGAUGGGAAAUCCAAGACAUUUUCCUAUCUGCGCUCCAACUUCUCUGUCCCACGCGCCAACCUCAGUCACAGCGGCCAGUACCACUGCACAGCGUUUCUCGGGAAGACGCCACACUCGUCACAGCCCGUGAACAUCACUGUCCAAGAGUCCAGCUCGAGUGACCCCUUGUCGACGACGACAGCUGUGGCUAUAGGCGCUUGUUUUGCUGCAGUGGCUAUUGGUGCUGCCAUAGCAGCCUGGUUCCGCCUCAGGAGAAAGCCAAUUUCAGCUCUCUCAGGAACCCCUGAGCACAGGGAAAUGGGGGAGACCCUCCCUGAGGAACCAGAAGUUGGAGCAUGGCAUACAGGGACUUCUUGUGUCCUGGAGAUGAAUGAAGACACUAGACGCAUUGUCUCAGACUCCUUCCCCACUUCCUGAGGAAUGCUGCUUUGCAGAUACUGAGCUGCUUUCCGCACUGGCAAACUGGUCUCACUGAUGCUGAAACUGAUGCUGCCAGAACUGAGGCUGAGAACGCAAUCACCUAUUCACUCCUCUCGCACCCGGAUGUUGCAGAGGAAGAACCAGAGUCUGAUUACCAGAAAUGCCUUUAGUUUUCGUUGUCUUGCCUGGGACUUGGGGAAGUGAAUCAUAGAGGCCAGGAUCUGGUGUCUUCUGGCCUGAACUCCUCUUAGGGAGGAGAAGAGGAUACUGCAGUUCUAAAGAAGGAGAAUGGCUUUUCCAGAGUUAGGGCCUCUGAAUCCUGAAGCUCCCUGUUCUGACAUUCACAGGUGAUAUAGCCUCAGAUAACUGACUCCCGAUUUAUUCCUUGCCUCAGCACAUCUCAUCAGCAGGACUCUUCUAUUAUACAUUCACACAGCCAGUGUUAUUACUCUUAUUAAGAGAUUGCAGCAACAUAGAAAUAUAUUACAGGUUAUAUGAGAAAAAUUAGAUAAGCAUGGAUCAUUUCAGAAAUGUUGAAAUAGACUAACAUAUGCCAAUAUAUUAAAAGUGAUUGUUUCUGGGGAUGGAAUUAUUGGUGCUUUUCAUUUGCUUUGUUAAUUCUUCUGUACAGACCAUAUAUUACUUUUAUAAUAAAAUACUACACAAACAACA